rnacentral:rRNA from 1 species
GUAGGUGGCAAGCGUUGUCCGGAAUUAUUGGGCGUAAAGCGCGCGCAGGCGGUCCUUUAAGUCUGAUGUGAAAGCCCACGGCUCAACCGUGGAGGGUCAUUGGAAACUGGGGGACUUGAGUACAGAAGAGGAAAGCGGAAUUCCAAGUGUAGCGGUGAAAUGCGUAGAGAUUUGGAGGAACACCAGUGGCGAAGGCGGCUUUCGGGUCUGUAACUGACGCUGAGGCGCGAAAGCGUGGGGAGCAAACAGGAUUAGAUACCCUGGUAGUCCACGCCGUAAACGAUGAGUGCUAAGUGUUAGGGGGUUUUCCCGCCCCCCUUAGUGCUGCAGCUAACGCAUUAAGCACUCCGCCUGGGGGAGUACGGCCGCAAGGCUG